UUUUUCUGUCGUCAGAUCAUACUUUGAAUCAUAUGUCUCUCUGGAUGUUUUUUUUCCCCCCUUUUUCUUCCAGAGCCGUAUCACAAAGACUCCGCCCAUGCUGGCUGCGAUUCAAUAGAGAAGCAUUCUCCUUUUAAUGGUGUGAGCGCAAACCAAUCACAGCACCCUGUGCUCCCCCUCCGCUCCCGAACCUCCAGCCAAUCCCAGACAGCCUCGCUCCACACAUGACACUAUGUGCUGCUGUCCAUCAAAAGCCUCAUAUAUAGUGCAUGCACGAAAAUGUUAAACAGUUUCCAAACUUGUGCCUUGUCUUUUUGCGGGUGUGUUUGUGUGUACGGUUGCUAGUGUGUGUGUACCUCUGUGUGUGUGAGCGUGUACGUGCGAGCGUGCACGUGAGUGUGCAGAGUGUGUUUGUGCAGAGUGGGGGGUGGAUGCAUGUGGGAAUGUGGUUUCUUGUUUAUCUAUGAAGCUGUGCAGAAGGCGCGAGAGGGAGAGAGGGAGGGCUUGAGUGAGGGAGAGAGGGAGAGAGAGAGAGAGAGAGAGAGAGAGAGAGAGAUAUUUGUGAGCCACUUGUAUUUGCAAACUCCUGGCUGAGGUCCCACUGGCGGCAGGAAGAUCGGACUGAAAGAGUGCAUGUCAGGAUUGUGCGCCACUGUGUGCUUGUACAUGUGUCUGGGUGAGACAAACAGGCAGAGAGAGGACGCAUUCAAUCCAUUUCACCCACAUAGGCCGGUUUAAUAUUUCAUGCCUGACUAUGGAAGUGUUGCCCCAUUUCUACUAUCCAGCCACAAUACAUUGCUGUUGUCCAACUUUUGGUCCCGUUGCCGGCAGAACGAGACAAGACAGCACCGCUCAUCAUUCUGAAGAAGGUGGGGAUGAAGAUAAAACGAUGAACGAGUUUACUGGCAUAUCUGAAGAGCUAUUUUCAGGGAAAUCCAAGCCUCCGCAUCAUCAUCAUCAUCAUCAUCAUCAUCCUCAUUCCUUCUGGUUUGCCGGCAACGUCAUUUAAACCUCAACAUGAGCAUGGGUGGUAACACAUGGUGGAGCACGGCUUACCCACUCAGGCCAAGAGAAAUACCCACGCAAAAAGUUAAACAGCACUUUGGUUUGAAGGCUUCAAUUUUCAACCGACUGCUGAAAGCUGAAGCCAGAUCACAGAAACAACUGAUACCGUGGCAAAUUUACAUACGCUCCAUAAUUUAAAUCUGGAACUGCAGACAUUUUAAAAAACAAGCGGUAUGGGCGGCAACCGGCAAACUAGUGUGGGAUUUUCCACUUGCCGGAGACAAAACGAAGCGACAAUAAGAACCAUGCAACCAAUGGAAAGGGAAAAAAAAUGUGCUGUGCUUUUUGAUCUUUCUCAAAGUUUGUGUGUGUUUAAGUUGUUCGGCCAGUGAAACAUCUGCCAUCAAUCAAACAGCAACGGCGAGGUCCAUAAUCUGUGUCGGUGUCCACAGUGAACAUUCAACGCUGUCGGUGAGUUUGAACUCAGGCAAAACCAUCGACCGUUGACUGUACCCUGAGGGGCGCCAUGAGCUUCUUGAAAUAUCCUGCGACCGUUCCACGGAUGCUGGAUUCCUAACGCUCGCCUGCUGAAGAAUUUGUUUAGGACGGACCGGACACUUUGGCUUCACCUGUAAAUGCUGCAAUAAACAUUCAUUGCUGUCGGUGGGUUGACACGAGAAUAACUCACUGAUCAAUGAAUGCAAACUGCGGUAAACUGUCUCAGAGAGGCUGAGGAGAUGACACCGAACACAAAUUCUGACAAUAUGCAACGAUGAAACAAUAUGGAUAGAACAUAGAUUGGAAUAGAGUGGUGGCCCUACCUCCUUUAAAGCACAAAAAUGAAAAUGUGGAACUUGAUUGAGUUCAGUGCUCUUUGCUUUUGCUCGUAAUUAGGAACACAUUUUGUCUUAUCUGCUGUGAGACCGACUCGACUGUGAUUGGUGUUCAACAAGACAUGUUUCUUGUAAGAGUUCAACAAUGCAAAUGAAGACCAAAGAGUGUCAACAAACAUUCCUAAAACUUUUCUGAUGGAUUUUUCAAAAAUAAAUAAAGACUAUCACAUGCUU